AGAAUCAACGCUGGCGGCGUGCCUAACACAUGCAAGUCGAACGCGAAAGGGGAGCAAUCCCUGAUUAGAGUGGCAAACGGGUGAGUAACACGUGGGUGACCUGCCUUCGAGUGGGGGAUAACCUUCCGAAAGGAGGGCUAAUACCGCAUGACAUACCGUGUUUGGAUACACGGAUAUCAAAGCCGGGGAUCGCAAGACCUGGCGCUUGGAGAGGGGCCCGCGUCCGAUUAGCUGGUUGGUGAGGUAACGGCUCACCAAGGCUCCGAU
rnacentral:rRNA from 1 species